GGAGCCUCGAGAACCCGUAGGCGGCGGCCCUGCGGCCCGAGCAGUAACGACUGCGGCUCCCGGAAGUCCCCGUUCCGCCGCGAGUAACGAAUUGAGCUUCUUGAGAGUAAGAACUCCGGUUCGUCGUCGUCACCCACCGCUUACCGCAGUGCCGAGGGUUCGCCAGGCGCUAGCAGUUUGCUGAAGAGAGUGGGUGUUUAUAGUGAAAAGAGAAGAGGACCCAAUGAGAAAACGGUCAUCUGCAACACAGAAGAGGGCCCUCACCAGAAUCCCACCAUGCUGGCAUCCUGAUCUCAGACUUCCAGCCCAGAACUAUAUAGUUCAACAUUUUCCUGAGACACCAUUUCCCUCUACGUAGGACCUGACUUGAUAUUUGAGAAAAGCUCAACUAUGGAAUGAAAAAGCAGAAAUGAAUGGCCUCCAAAUCUUAAUUUUUUUGUCAGUUGCUACUACUCUUGAUUGAGGAAUACUAGCCUUUGCAUAGCUGUUGUGAAAAAGGAGAUGACCAGAAGAAAUUCACCUUGCGGUGGCAGCUGCCACCAACACACAGAAGCACUCACUCAAGAUGGCUUAAAGGAGACAGUGACUCAAUGUACGACUAGAAAAUUGAGCAA